rnacentral:rRNA from 1 species
AGGGUUUGAUCAUGGCUCAGAACGAACGCUGGCGGCGUGGAUAAGACAUGCAAGUCGAACGCUGACUCAAGGGUAGCAAUAUUCUUGAGUUGGAGUGGCGAAAGGGUGCGUAACACGUGGGCAAUCUGCCGUGAAGUUGGGGAUAACUCGCUGAAAGGCGAGCUAAUACCGAAUAUGACUUUUGGAAGGCUUCUUCCGAAAUUUAAAGUUGGGGACCGUAAGGCCUGACGCUUCACGAUGAGCCCGCGGCCUAUCAGCUAGUUGGUGAGGUAACGGCUCACCAAGGCUAAGACGGGUAGCUGGUCUGAGAGGACGACCAGCCACACCGGAACUGAGACACGGUCCAGACACCUACGGGUGGCAGCAGUCGAGAAUUUUUCUCAAUGGGCGAAAGCCUGAAGGAGCGACGCCGCGUGGGGGAUGAAUGGCUUCGGCCCGUAAACCCCUGUCAUUUGCGAACAAACCUUGCUUUUUAAUAGAAGGCGAGCUGAUUGUAGCGAAAGAGGAAGGGACGGCUAACUCUGUGCCAGCAGCCGCGGUAAUACAGAGGUCCCAAGCGUUGUUCGGAUUCACUGGGCGUAAAGGGUGCGUAGGUGGUGAGGUAAGUCCGAUGUGAAAGCUCCGAGCUCAACUCGGAAAUUGCAUCAGAAACUACCUUGCUAGAGGGUUGGAGGGGGGACUGGAAUUCUCGGUGUAGCAGUGAAAUGCGUAGAUAUCGAGAGGAACACCAGUGGCGAAGGCGAGUCCCUGGACAACUCCUGACACUGAGGCACGAAAGCUAGGGGAGCAAACAGGAUUAGAUACCCUGGUAGUCCUAGCCGUAAACGGUGCACGUUUGCUGUAAGAGGAUUCGACCCCUCUUGUGGCGUAGCCAACGCGUUAAACGUGCCGCCUGGGAAGUACGGUCGCAAGAUUAAAACUCAAAGAAAUUGACGGGGGCCUGCACAAGCGGUG